AUAUUAAUUUACUUAUUUUAUAUUCUAUAUACUAAUCUAUGUAAUUUAUAAAAUUUAUGUUUAUCUCAGUAUUAAUGCCAUAAUUUUAGUCAUGGAACCGUAGCAUUUCCCUUAUUUAAAACAUGAUGUUUAUAUGCUGGAUGGAUCGUCUUCAAAUGCAAGUCAUUUUCGUCUAUAUGCAUAAAUUAAUGAAUUUGUUCCCUUGUCUGGGUGCUUAUAUGUUGGAUAUAUGUUCUUUCAUAAUUGCAAGAUUGAACACUAAUUAAAUGAGAAAUAGAAAAUUCACAAUUAGGUGCUUUUUUUUAAAUUACCCUUGUUAAAAAAAUUUAAUUAUGAAGUAAAACUUAAUAAUAUGUAGUAAAUAUAAUUUUUAAAUAAUAAUUUAAAAAAAAAAGUAAAGAUGUUAUAAGUUUUUAAUCAUAAAAGUGGUGGAUCAAAUUAACUUAGUUUUUAAGUUACAGUAGCUAAUAUUUACUAAAUAAAUUCUAAACUAUAAUUGUCCAACCUCAAUACCAAGCAAGCUUUAAUUGAGCCGAAUCAAGUUGGAAUUUCUAAUUUGCCUCACCUCUAUUUGAAGUUUCAGAUUUUAGUUUCAAAAUAUCCCAACUCAAUUGAACUAAUUUGGAUUCAAUUUUUCUCUAAACUAGAGAUGCCCGGCAGGCUAGCUCCACAUGGCAUGGCACGGGCAUGUCACACAUCCAAAUAGCACCAUAUGGCACAAGAACAUUUUGAUAGGACACAUGGCGUGGUAGGCAUACACACGACUGAGUUAGGCUGAGAAUUUUAAGUACUGGGCCUUGAAAGCAUUGUGCUCUUAGAAAUGUGCUAAAGAGACACGUGAAGAAGGUUAGGGAUAAGCACGUUUUAUUAGUGGGCUAACACAUGGCUUGCAAGGUAUUAAUAGCAUGCUGGCCAAAGUAUAUUAAAGUAAAAUCUUAUUUUGAAAAAUAAAUUUAAAAUUUUAUGAUUUUACAAAUAACUUCAAAUUGAAUCUUUUAAUGUAUAUUAUUAGCAUAAGUUUUUCAAAUUCAUUUAAUUCUCCGUUUCAUAAAAAAUACUCUAAUUGUUUUAUGUUUAUAAUCUAUAGAUAAUAUC
rnacentral:lncRNA from 1 species